GAUGAAGAACGUAGCGAAAUGCGAUACCUGGUGUGAAUUGCAGAAUCCCGCGAACCAUCGAGUCUUUGAACGCAAGUUGCGCCCGAGGCCACCCGGCCGAGGGCACGCCUGCCUGGGCGUCACGCCAAAACACGCUCCCACCCCCCCUCACCGGGGGAGCGGGACGCGGCGUCUGGCCCCCCGUGCCGCGAGGCGCGGUGGGCCGAAGAUCGGGCUGCCGGCGUACCGUGCCGGGCACAGCGCGUGGUGGAUCUCUACUUGGCGCAGUGCACCCGGCGCGUAGCCGGCGCAGCGGCCCCUAAGGACCCAACGAACGGAGCGCGAGCCGCUCCGACCGCGACCCCAGGUCAGGCGGGACUACCCGCUGAGUUUAAGCAUAUCAAUAAGCGGAGGA
rnacentral:misc_RNA from 1 species